ensembl:lncRNA
AGUGUGGGCACAGCUGAGAUGGUGUGACGUGAUCGUGUGACUUCAGCCACCCAGUCAAGAUGGCCUCUCUGAAUAGAGUGGAACAGGGGGAGAGGACAGUCCAUUCAGCUCUCCCCAGCCCGCCAUAGUGAAGCCACUAAAGGCCCCAAAGCCACCAGACUAUUCUAACGGAUCCAGGUCCAGUAAACCUCCUACUCCUCCUUCUCACCCUCCUUCAAAUGUCCCCAACACAAAAACAGGCACUUGGAAGUGGUGUAGCGGUGCCUGGUCUGUAUGGAGGAGUGGGCCAAAAUCCCUGCUGCAGUGUGUGCAAACCUGGUCAAGAACUACAGGAAACAUGUGAUCUCUGUAAUUGCAAACAAAGAUUCCGUCUCUUACAGUUGAAGUGUACCUAUGAUAAAAAUUACAGACCUCUACAUGCUUUGGCUCCCUGGUGUCUCUUUAACUGUCAGUUCAGCGGAGGAGGCAGUGUGAACUUCAGUUUGUCACCCCUAACUUUCCUGUCACAGGCGGUCAAAAGAGUAAGUCUUAUAGGCCACAGAGGAUGUAAAGAAGAGAAGAGGGAGUGGCCCACUCGUCCCUGGUCUAAAGUAGUGCACUAUAUAGUGAAUAGGGUGCGAUUUGGAUGCAAACCUAGAGCUAGUCUGCUUCACUGUGUACGCCUAUAGACUUCUCUAUUCUUAGAAGGUGAUGAUGAGUGGAAAAAUGUAUCACUACCCAUGUGAUUUUAAGUGUUAUAGAAGAUCAUCUGUAAUAUCAAUAUGUCGCAAACCAGAUCUAAGGCCAUUAUAAUUGGUCUUCUCCCUCUGCAUCAGACUGGCUGCUAUGUGUAGUAACUCAGCCUGCUUAGAUAUAACAUUACAUUUCAGACUAAUAGGUGUCAUCAAACACAGUUGCUAGUCUCUCUUUCGACCCUCCUCUUGUAAGAUUGUUUAGGGACAGAAAGACAGUUUGCGCCUCCAUUACUAUAUAGUAGGUUGAGUUGAAUAUCUGCCCAGCAACAGUGAUUAUUAGAUGACAUGUGAUUGUGUCCUGAGUCUCUACGCGUUUAAAUAGACAGUCCAAUUCUGAUAUUUUAACCAAUCGGACGAGCUCUGAAAAAGACAAGAUGUCAAAAGAUCUGAUAUGAUUGGUUAGUGGGACCAAUCAGUGGGAAAAAGUUCAGAAUUGGGCUGAAUGUCUAAACGCAGCCUAUGGCUCAAAUUAUGUUUUAUUCAGCCUGUUUCCUGUAUUUGAUGUCUUAUUCAGCCUGUUUCCUGUAUUUGAUGUCUUAUUCAGCCUGUUUCCUGUAUUUGAUGUCUUAUUCAGCCUGUUUUCUGUAUUUGAUGUCUUAUUCAGCCUGUUUCCUGUAUUUGAUGUCUUAUUCAGCAUGUUUGAUUUGAUUUGCCUGAAUUUGAAAACCAAACGCAUAGAAAUAAAAUGACAUGAAUGUAGCUCUAAACUCCAUAUUAUAUUCUUCACACUCCAAUAUGGUGGCCGAGCAUCCCACUUGGAUCAUAGCAUUUAAAUUAGAAUAUCUAUUGUACUGCAUUUCUAGCUACAUGGACCUGGCCUGCAGACUGUUGUGAUGGCACAGAUAGCCAGCCCACCGUGCAGCCCACUGCUGUGUCUGGUAUCUCACACUAAGGUGAGAGAGGAGGGGAUAGAGGAGGGAUGGCUGAUCAGUGAACCCCCAGGCAUGCAGGGCUGUCUAGGUAUGAAUACAUACCCCUGGGGGGUCUUAACAAAGGCUGCCCCCCAGCCUCCAGGCUCCACCAUAUUGAGACAUUCCUUCAUACGGUUGCA